rnacentral:sRNA from 1 species
GACCACACGGGAGCGCCAUACAAGCCAU